AACGAGGUUUCCGUAGGUGACCUGCGGAAGGAUCAUUAU
rnacentral:rRNA from 1 species